AUCAAUAAGCGGAGGAAAAGAAACCAACAGGGAUUGCCCCAGUAAUGGCGAAUGAAGCGGCAAGAGCCCAAAUUUGAAAUCGGGCAACCGAGUUGUAAUUUGGAGACGGGACACUAGAGAGGAGGAAGGCGAUUAAGUGCCUUGGAACAGGCUGCCGUAGAGGGUGAGAGCCCCGUGAAUCGCUGGAGACCGAUCAAUUAGUGCCCGCCGAAGAGUCGAGUUGUUUGGGAAUGCAGCUCUAAGUGGGUGGUAUAUUCCAUCUAAGGCUAAAUAUUAGCGAGAGACCGAUAGCAAACAAGUACAGUGAUGGAAAGAUGAAAAGAACUUUGGAAAGAGAGUGAAAUAGUACGUGAAAUUGUUGAAAGGGAAGGGUAUUUGAUCCGACAUGGUGUUUAGCAGCGGCCCGUUCCUCGUGGAUGGGUGCACCUGGUUUACACUGGGCCAGCAUCGGUUCUGGGAGCCAUAUACGGGGUUCGUGAAUGUGGCCCUUCGAUUCUGUCGGAGGGUGUUAUAGCGCGGACAUCUUGUGGCUAGCCGGGACCGGGGACUGCGGUGACUUGUCACUCAAGGAUGCUGGCAGAA
rnacentral:rRNA from 1 species